rnacentral:rRNA from 1 species
GACGAACGCUGGCGGCGUGCUUAACACAUGCAAGUCGAACGGAAGGGCCCUGCUUUUGUGGGGUGCUCGAGUGGCGAACGGGUGAGUAACACGUGAGUAACCUGCCCUUGACUUUGGGAUAACUUCAGGAAACUGGGGCUAAUACCGGAUAGGAGCUCCUGCUGCAUGGUGGGGGUUGGAAAGUUUCGGCGGUUGGGGAUGGACUCGCGGCUUAUCAGCUUGUUGGUGGGGUAGUGGCUUACCAAGGCUUUGACGGGUAGCCGGCCUGAGAGGGUGACCGGCCACAUUGGGACUGAGAUACGGCCCAGACUCCUACGGGAGGCAGCAGUGGGGAAUAUUGCACAAUGGGCGGAAGCCUGAUGCAGCAACGCCGCGUGCGGGAUGACGGCCUUCGGGUUGUAAACCGCUUUCGCCUGUGACGAAGCGUGAGUGACGGUAAUGGGUAAAGAAGCACCGGCUAACUAUGUG